rnacentral:rRNA from 1 species
GACGAACGCUGGCGGCGUGCUUAACACAUGCAAGUCGAACGGAAAGGCCCUGCUUUUGUGGGGUGCUCGAGUGGCGAACGGGUGAGUAACACGUGAGUAACCUGCCCUUGACUUUGGGAUAACUUCAGGAAACUGGGGCUAAUACCGGAUAGGAGCUCCUGCUGCAUGGUGGGGGUUGGAAAGUUUCGGCGGUUGGGGCUGGACUCGCGGCUUAUCCGCUUGUUGGUGGGGUAGUGGCUUACCAAGGCUUUGAAGGGUAGCCGGCCUGAGAGGGUGAACGGGCACCAUGGGACUGAGAUACGGACCAGACUGCUACGGGAGGCAGCAGUGGGGAAUAUUGCAGAAUGGGCGGAAGCCUGAUGCAGCAACGCCGCGUGCGGGAUGACGGCCUUCGGGUUGUAAACCGCUUUCGCCUGUGACGAAGCGUGAGUGACGGUAAUGGGUAAAGAAGCACCGGCUAACUACGUG